AAGACUAUAGACCUGCGGAGUACCUGCGGAAGGAUCAUUAGUGAACGCCCUCACGGGCUUAUAACUAUUCCAAACCUCUGUGAACCGUGCCCUUCGGGGCUAUUUUACAAACAUGGUGUAAUGAACGUCAUAUAUCAUAACAAAACAAAACUUUCAGCAACGGAUCUCU
rnacentral:misc_RNA from 1 species